GGUGGAUAGAGUUUUUUGAAUAUGAAAUUUAGGAUUCUAAUAAAUAUAUAAAUAAAUACUUUAAAAAAUAUAAAAAAUUGAAAAAUAGUUUCAAACGUAAUAUUCUAUUUUUAAAAAGAAAUUUUGAAGAAAAAAAUUCGAAAAAACAAAAAUUCAAAAAAAUAAGGGUUUAGGGUUUAGAGUUGAUGUUUCGGGGUUUAGGGUUUAGAGUUGAUGUUUCAGGGUUUAGGGUUCGUAUUUCAAAAAAAAAAAGUUUAGGAUUAAUGGUUAGGGUUUAUGGUUCGUAUAUCAACAAAAAAUAAGGUUUAGGAUUGAUGGUUUAGGGUUUAGAGUUGAGUUUUAGGGUUUAGGGCUUGAAUUUCGAAAUAGUAUAAUUCGAAA
rnacentral:lncRNA from 1 species